rnacentral:siRNA from 1 species
UGUGGAAGUCCCAUGUGAUGAAGA